CCUAGCUUCUUUGCGGUUUACUAUUUGGUUAGAAAAUAUAUGUGCUUUAUAUCACUCUACUUUGAUGGCACCUAGUAAGCGGGGUGUCUAGCAUCUUAUAUGAUGUCAUGAUGGCUUAGGAGGUCAUUAUAUCAAGUAAAAUAUCAAAAGUUAAUCUGAGGUAUUUUGAUAUAAUAAUUGAAUAUCCUUUUUGUAAUAAAUCAGAGAGCUCUCUGAUCGAUGUAAACGACUAGUGGUAAACUUAAUUAGCUAAGCAGUAAUGAGCCAUAUUAUUGGUUUCCAUUUUUGGUAACUCAGAUCACAUUAUUGGUUUCCCAUUUGUAUCUGACCUAUUUAUUGGUUGUGACUUGAUCUGAGCCAUCCAUUGUUAUCAAGGACCACGAUCUUCUUGGAGCUCUGAUUGGAAAGCACGAUUUGAAGCUGCCAUACUUCACUCAAAAAACAACCUUUUUUUCUUCUCUGCGAGUGUGAGUGUGAAAUCAAACCGGGAAGAUCAUCAGCCCAGUAGAGUUUUCAUUUUUUUUUGUUAGUUUAUUUUCAAACCGACACUCUCCUGUUUGUUCUCCAGAGCUAGAGAUUGUUCUGCUGUUUGCUUUCCUAGCUUCUUUUGUUUUCUUUUUCUUCUUUGAAUCUUUACUUCUCUUGCAAGUUUUUUUUUUUUUUUUGGCUUUAAAAUCAGGUUUUCUUGCAUACUCAAAUUUCUUCUUCUUCUGUGUGAUUUAUGCAAUGUUUAGUCACUCUGGGUAUUCUGCUUCAUCUUCCCUUGGGAAUCUUUUGAAUCUGGUCUUGGUUGCACAUAUGUUGAGUUGCUGGCAUUAUAACAUUGUUCAUGGCCUUUUAUCCCCUUUUGAAUCUGAUUGUGCCCCAUUAUUACUUUAUGCCAUCAGUAAUUGGAGGAUUUCGGUGCGGCUGUCCUCUUUUCUACUUAAGCAUGGAUGUCAACGAUCCAGAUGUGAGAUCGCUUCUGGGAAGUGAAUGGUAACACCGCCAAAUGAAGUAAAAAAGUGCAUGGUAAUUUUGCAUAAAUACGAGCGGUUGAGGAGUGGAUGCAUGGGCUGUACAAUAUUUCAUAAAUGCAUUGUAAUUUAUGAGAAACAGAUGUUAGUGAAUCUCAAAAUGUGAGGUUCAUAACCUUCCAAGAGCUUGGUGAGUUUUUAAUAUUAGUUAACAUAUGAUUUGUUAAUUUUUUUUAUAUUAAUUAGUUUCAGGCAUUCAGUAACCCUUUCCUUUUGUAAGAAAAAAUGUGCCCUUUCUUGUUUUGUUGGACAAACUAAUUUUUGUACUAUGCUGCAAUUUACAUCGUAUUUUACUAACAUUUAGUUUGUUUUUCAGAACCCAGUACAUAACCAAGUCCGUUCACCGAAAAAAGUUCAUUCUUUAGCAUAAAUCAAUUUCUGUAAUCCAAAAACUAAGGAUACUGUACCGUUGUGGCUUAAUUUCAUUUUCUCUUUGUUACAAGUUUUGACUCAAUUAUGUGUCUUGAUUGUAGGUCUUUCCUAUAUGCUACUAAUGAAGAUGUUCUCAAGGAUGCUUUUGGACUUCAUGGUGAAAUAAUUGAAGGUAGAGUCAAGAUCAUAAGGUUGUUAACGUCUUCAUGGAAGCUUGUUUUCUUAAAUGACCAUUGUUCUAAGGAAAUGCUAAGUUGUCAUUUCCUGCAUAAUAUGUCAUCGCUUAGGGAAAUAAGUAGCUAACGAGGAAUGAAAAAGACAAAAUAUAUAUAUAUAUAUAUAUAAUAUAAAAGAAGAACCAUUUACGCCAUGUGUCAGUACAUUAUUCUUUUAAAUUCUCUCCAAAAAUAUAUUUUUAUUAUCAUUAUUAUUUAUUAAUUAUUAUUUAUUAUCUUACUUUUUUUGUUAUAACCAAACAUAUACAUAUAUAAAAUAAUUUCAAAAUAAAUAAAAUAUUUAAUUUGAUAUUAUAUGAUUUUUUAUCAAAUAUUAGUAGAAAGAAGUUAAAAAUGAGUAAUAUUAAAUGGGCUAUUAUAUAAUAUUCAUAUAUUUUUUUACCAAAUAUAAGUAUAAAGAAGGCCCGUGCAUGUACAUUGACCAAAUAUAAGUAGAAAGAAGGCCCGUGCAUGUACAUUUACCCAAAAAAGAAAAAAAAAAAGCCCGUGCAUGUAUAGCAUGAAUAUAAUUAGAGAUUUAGAGAAUAUUCUUUUACAUAUACUAUUAUUCAAUAUUAGAUCAAUAUUUUAUUUACCAAAUAAGUUAAACAUAUUUGACUAUAAAUUAGUAACUGAUAUCUCCUGGUAUUUUAAAAUUUCGCUAUUCAAUAUUUGUUAGUUUUUAUUUCUCUCAUAUUUCUGUUUUAGGGUUUAAUUUUUUAUUUUUUUUUUGUUCUUUAAUUUUAAUUUUUUUUCUUAUGGAUCCUAAACAUGAUCAUGUUAAUCAUAAGCAUGCAUGUAAGCCAUGCUAUGGAUUUUUGGAAGAAAUUGAUGAUUUUGAAUCAAAAUAUCAUGUACAAACUAUUAAAAAAAGAAGAAGAUGCUUCUGACGAAGAAUCCAUACUUAUUAAUUCAUCUUUGUCUAUCAACUUUUUCAAGAUGUUGGAUUAAAAAAAGAUAAAAAUGGGAAGAUGCAGGAGAUUAUUCACAUCGAGGACAUGCAAGAAAAAGCAAGACGAUUGUUCUAGAAGUCAGGUGGUGCUGGAAUUCCCUAAUUUUGAGGCAACUUUAUUGAACAAGAAGCAACUUAAAAAAAUUAAACGUCUGUGCUAGAUAUUAUACUUUUUUUUUUCUUAUUAUGUUUUUUUUUUAUUGGGAGCGAAAUAAUAUAAUGUUUUUAUUUUAGUUAGUAUAAAUUACAAUAUGGUUUUUUUAGGCAAACAAUAUUUUUGAUUUUGUGGUUCGUUAAUAUAAUUAUUCCCUA